rnacentral:rRNA from 1 species
GACCUCAGCUCAGUCGUGAGUACCCGCUGAAUUUAAGCAUAUAACUAAGCGGAGGAAAAGAAACUAACGAGGAUUCUCCCAGUAACGGCGAGUGAACGGAGAGGAGCCCAGCGCUGAAUCCAAACGGUCACAGUGAUCGUUUUGAGCUGUAGCGUAUAGGUGCAACUAUCCCAUUGUUUUGUGCACUCAAAGUCCCCUUGAGCGGGGCCACAGUCCACAGAAGGUGCUAGACCUGUACGGGUGGCGAAGCACUGGGUUGGUUGUUCCUCGGAGUCGGGUUGCCUGAGAUCGCAGCUCAAAGUGGGUGGUAAACCUCAUCUAAGGCUAAAUAUGGCCACGAGACCGAUAGCAAACAAGUACCGUGAGGGAAAGUUGAAAAGAACUCUGAGAAGAGAGUUAAACGAGGACGUGAAACCGCUGGGAUGGAAACGAAUAGAGUUGACGAAACCUGCCGUCAUUCAACCGAUCAACUCUGCGGUCUUUCGUCUCAUUGUACCGCCGCUUUGCAGUGUGCACUCUCUCGGGUGCAUGCUGUAGGGCGCAUUGCUGGACAAUGGCGUGAGGUGCUGUUGAGUAGCACUUUUGUGUGUGUGUGCUGUGUGAUCGGUGCAUUUGAUGGUGGUAUGCGCCGAGAGCCGCGUUGUUGUGCGACAAAGCAUCUGUAGUGGACCGUAUGGUUCCCAUGCGGAAACCUGCGAAUGUGGAGGCGUAUCAUCGAUGCGGUACAAAUUGUAUUCGUAAACUUCCACCGUUCAUUCAUCGCAUACAUAUACUGCCACCUACCUCCUCCCUUACGGGAUGAUGGUUGUCGGGUGCUGUGUGUGUCACUGUGGUGUUAUUGGUACGGUGCGCUGCUGUUAACCAGGUGGGUCUAUACGUGCUGUGAUCGCUUGCGUAUCACGUACGGUUUGUGUGUGAUCAGUCUGGAUAGCAGAUGAGCAAAAAAAAAAAGUUUAAAUAAGCGCGUUGAAGUUACGUCUCGGUGUGAGCGUCGAUCACCUAUUCGACCCGUCUUGAAACACGGACCAAGGAGUCUAGCAUAUGCGCAAGUUAUUGGGUGGUAAACCCGAGAAAACGCAAUGAAAGUAAACGUGUGCGUGUGUGUGUGUGCUACUGUUUGUCGCUCCUCGUGGGUGGUGAUCGGUGUGUGCCAUACACAUACACAGAUAUGUGAACCGUGUGUGUUUGCGACCAAUGUGUACACGGUGCAACAUAGCCCCGUCCUGGUUGCUUGCAACGGGGCGGAGAGAGAGCGUAUACGCUGGGACCCGAAAGAUGGUGAACUAUGCCUGAGCAGGAUGAAGCCAGAGGAAACUCUGGUGGAGGUCCGAAGCGAUUCUGACGUGCAAAUCGAUCGUCUGACUUUGGUAUAGGGGCGAAAGACUAAUCGAACUAUCUAGUAGCUGGUUCCCUCUGAAGUUUCCCCCAGGAUAGCUGGAGCACGUGCAAGAGCAGUUAUAUUCGGUAAAGCGAAUGAUUAGACGAAUUGGGGACGAAACGUCCUCAACCUAUUCUCAAACUUUCAAUGGGUAUGAAGUUCCGCUUGCUUAAUUAAGUGCGGUGGGGGGCGUGUGUGCUUGUGUGUGCGUGAAAACGUGCCUGCAACGUGCACGCGUAUUCACCGAUGAAGCGAGAACAUUGAAUGUGUGCUCCAAGUGGGCCAUUUUUGGUAAGCAGAACUGGCGCUGUGGGAUGAACCAAACGUUGAGAUAAAGUGCCAAACUUUCCGCUCAUGAGACCCCAUGAAAGGCGUUGGUUGAUAUAGACAGCAGGACGGUGGCCAUGGAAGUCGGAAGCCGCUAAGGAGUGUGUAACAACUCACCUGCCGAAUCAACUAGCCCUGAAAAUGGAUGGCGCUUGAGCGGGAGACUUA